rnacentral:rRNA from 1 species
GACGAACGCUGGCGGCGUGCCUAAUACAUGCAAGUUGAGCGCUGAAGGUUGGUACUUGUACCAACUGGAUGAGCAGCGAACGGGUGAGUAACGCGUGGGGAAUCUGCCUUUGAGCGGGGGACAACAUUUGGAAACGAAUGCUAAUACCGCAUAAAAACUUUAAACACAAGUUUUAAGUUUGAAAGAUGCAAUUGCAUCACUCAAAGAUGAUCCCGCGUUGUAUUAGCUAGUUGGUGAGGUAAAGGCUCACCAAGGCGAUGAUACAUAGCCGACCUGAGAGGGUGAUUGGCCACAAUGGGACUGAGACACGGCCCAAACUCCUACGGGAGGCAGCCGUAGGGAAUCUUCGGCAAUGGACGAAAGUCUGACCGAGCAACGCCGCGUGAGUGAAGAAGGUUUUCGGAUCGUAAAACUCUGUUGGUAGAGAAGAACGUUGGUGAGAGUGGAAAGCUCAUCAAGUGACGGUAACUAACCAGAAAGGGACGGCUAACUACGUG